AUCAUGUUCCAGUACAUUAUGUUGAGUAUUCAACCAAAGAAGUUAGGCUGUUCUCCAGAAUUGGCCCUCUCCUAAAGGUCAAAAC
rfam:Procavia capensis cont1.105889, whole genome shotgun sequence.